UGGUCGAAUCUAACCUCCUUGCAAUUACUGUCAUACAUAUAACCCGGCCCUUUGCAUCCUUGAAACUUGGUCGAGACUUCAUUUACCACGCUCACGUAACACGCACCGUCGCUCUUGUAGUUUUCCGGUUUCGCACACGCCCCCUGGCCGGUACUAUUACUGUAGAACUAAUUGUCACCAUUUAGCAGUAGUUGGUUUACACGUGAAACAAAACGUUGUUAUUUUUUUAUCACCCGCGGCAACGCAUAAACUUUCAUCCUUUUUGGUGCAACCCGAUUGCACUCAAUCUUCACACGACUAGAAAUCGGUGGUAGAUUCCUUCGAUUGGGCGAGAUCAAGGUAGAAAACAUUCAACAGUACCGUAAGAGCGAACACAGAGACGACGACGUGCGACAGGACAAACAUAUUGUUUUUCGGUUGUGCGUAUGUCAAAUUACGAUACUUAUCUACCGUUGAGAAGACCAAAUCUAUACAUUCUAUACAGAUUGACGUACGGCGAUUUCUCAGAGAUGCUCAAAAGAAGACAGCGUGUUUGUGUUUUAUACGUGGCGUCUCCGUCUUCCAAUCGUACAAUAUAACAAAUUGUACGUUCGCGGCGAUGGAUUAUAUGUAACGUGCGAUGUACUACUUCAACUCCAAUUGUUUAUACUUAUUUCUAUAUUGACUGUAAAUCAUAUCAAACUCACUUUACAAAUCUUGAAGUCACUUUGAACUUACUUCUUAAAUUUAUUUUCAAUAAACCUACAUUAUUUCCUAGUUAAUUUAUAGAAAGAGCUAGAGAUUAUAAAUUUAAAAUCACUACUUACAAAGAAUAUUUGCUUACUAUUUUAUGAUAUGAAAAAAUGUACUGAUUUUCCGUGUCAUAAUUACAAUAAUCGCUUUAAGAUUAAUAAUAAUGUCGUCGUCUCUAAAAUUAAUACAGUAUUCGGGCAACAAAACCCUACAUAUAAGUUCAUUCAAUU